UAGGGAAUCUUCCGCAAUGGACGCAAGUCUGACGGAGCAACGCCGCGUGAGUGAAGAAGGAUUUCGGUUCGUAAAACUCUGUUGUUAGAGAAGAACAGCGCAUAGAGUAACUGUUAUGCGUGUGACGGUAUCUAACCAGAAAGCCACGGCUAACUACGUGCCAGCAGCCGCGGUAAUACGUAGGUGGCAAGCGUUGUCCGGAUUUAUUGGGCGUAAAGCGAGCGCAGGCGGUCAAUUAAGUCUGAUGUGAAAGCCCCCGGCUCAACCGGGGAGGGUCAUUGGAAACUGGUUGACUUGAGUGCAGAAGAGGAGAGUGGAAUUCGAUGUGUAGCGGUGAAAUGCGUAGAUAUAUGGAGGAACACCAGUGGCGAAGGCGACUCUCUGGUCUGUAACUGACGCUGAGGCUCGAAAGCGUGGGUAGCAAACAGG
rnacentral:rRNA from 1 species